GCCCGGAUGGCGGAAUCGGUAGACGCAGGGGACUCAAAAUCCCCCGAUGGCAACAUCGUGCGAGUUCGAGUCUCGCUCUGGGCA
rnacentral:tRNA from 1 species